CAAAGAAUGAAGGUGGACGUGGGGGGGCCCGAGGUGGUGGACGUGGCUCUGGCCGUGGGCGUGGAGGUGGCAGUGGAUUUAAUCGAGAUUCAAAUAACAAUGAGACUACCUUUGGCAGCAACAAUGGAUUUUCUAGAGGGUACAGACCAUCUGAAGAGGGUGACACUGGGAAGCCAUCUGAGAAGCGUGGCUAUGGAGGCCCUC
rnacentral:misc_RNA from 1 species